GCUUGUUAUAGAUCUCUCUAUCACGCCUCGCCACAGACUCUCGAUACUUUGAGUGUAGAUUGUGGCUUCCUUCAGGUUUUCGAAGUUUUGCUUCGAAGCUUCCCUAUGCAUCGCUAAUCCAUCGCUUUGAUCUUGGUAAGAAUGAGUUACUGUGUCCCCUCUUGUUUUCGGGAGUGGUGAGGGUAUCAAUAAGGCUUCAUUUGCUCUCACGUUCCAUGCCUCCAGACAGCCACGCCUGGCCCUCCUAUUCUGUCAAGGGGACCAACAUUACGCUUCAGUAGACCAAAAAGUGUGAGAAUGAAGAGAAGCACUCUGUGAAGACCAGAAUGAAGCAGUCACCAAGACAUUCAUAUUACAAGUAACUAAGUCACUGUUACAUCAGAAAUUAUUAUACAUUUCAACAUGCAUCUUCAGAAAUAGUUAAUAUGGGAGGAAAUUCACUGCCUUCCCUAGCCAACAACCUAACUAGCUAGCUGCUGGUAAUUCCUAUUGUGAAAAUAUGGAUUUACAAAUACAUUCAUUAUAUAACAA